GGGUUGUGAGGUUAAGCGACUAAGCGUACACGGUGGAUGCCCUGGCAGUCAGAGGCGAUGAAGGACGUGCUAAUCUGCGAUAAGCGCCGGUAAGGUGAUAUGAACCGUUAUAACCGGCGAUUUCCGAAUGGGGAAACCCAGUGUGACUCGUCACACUAUCAUUAACUGAAUCCAUAGGUUAAUGAGGCGAACCGGGGGAACUGAAACAUCUAAGUACCCCGAGGAAAAGAAAUCAACCGAGAUUCCCCCAGUAGCGGCGAGCGAACGGGGAGGAGCCCAGAGCCUGAAUCAGCAUGUGUGUUAGUGGAAGCGUCUGGAAAGGCGCGCGAUACAGGGUGACAGCCCCGUACACAAAAGCGCAUGUGCUGUGAGCUCGAUGAGUAGGGCGGGACACGUGGUAUCCUGUCUGAAUAUGGGGGGACCAUCCUCCAAGGCUAAAUACUCCUGACUGACCGAUAGUGAACCAGUACCGUGAGGGAAAGGCGAAAAGAACCCCGGCGAGGGGAGUGAAAAAGAACCUGAAACCGUGUACGUACAAGCAGUG
rnacentral:rRNA from 1 species